CGCCUGUUUAUCAAAAACAUCGCCUCUUGCAAAAUUAACGAAUAAGAGGUCCUGCCUGCCCUGUGACCAUGAGUUCAACGGCCGCGGUAUUUUGACCGUGCAAAGGUAGCGCAAUCACUUGUCUUUUAAAUGAAGACCCGUAUGAAUGGCAAGACGAGGGCUUAGCUGUCUCCUUUCUCAAGUCAAUGAAAUUGAUCUUCCCGUGCAGAAGCGGGAAUUAUAACAUAAGACGAGAAGACCCUAUGGAGCUUUAGACACCAAGACAGACCACGUCAAAGCCCCCUAACCAAGGAACUGAACUAAGUGACCCCUGUCCUAAUGUCUUUGGUUGGGGCGACCACGGGGAAACACAAAACCCCCGCGUGGAAUGGGAGCACUACACUCCUACAACCAAGAGCUUCCGCUCUAAUAAACAGAAUUUCUGACCAACAAGAUCCGGCAACGCCGAUCAACGAACCGAGUUACCCUAGGGAUAACAGCGCAAUCCUCUUUUAGAGCCCAUAUCGACAAGAGGGUUUACGACCUCGAUGUUGGAUCAGGACAUCCUAAUGGUGCAGCCGCUAUUAAGGGUUCGUUUGUUCAACGAUUAAAGUCCUACGUGAUCUGAGUUCAGACCGG
rnacentral:rRNA from 1 species